CAGUAGCCGCGGUAAUACGUAGGUGGCAAGCGUUGUCCGGAAUUAUUGGGCGUAAAGGGCUCGCAGGCGGUUUCUUAAGUCUGAUGUGAAAGCCCCCGGCUCAACCGGGGAGGGUCAUUGGAAACUGGGAAACUUGAGUGCAGAAGAGGAGAGUGGAAUUCCACGUGUAGCGGUGAAAUGCGUAGAGAUGUGGAGGAACACCAGUGGCGAAGGCGAUUCUCUGGUCUGUAACUGACGCUGAGGAGCGAAAGCGUGGGGAGCAAACAGGAUUAGAUACCCGCGUAGUCCCUGUCUCUUAUAA
rnacentral:rRNA from 1 species